GGAGGAAGAGGAGGAGGAGGCGGAGGAGGAGAGAGGGUGGUCUAGAGCUGAAGCUGUGACUGCCUUUUUUUUCCCUCACUCCCUCCCUCUUUUGUUAAGCUCCGGGGAUAGAUAGGUAGAUACUGCUGAAGCCCGGCGUGGAGGAUGAGCAAAAAGAAAAAGCCGUGGUGAAAACUCCUCUAGCUGAGGAAGAAGCAGAUGGCGUUAUCCAGACGUGCACUCACACAGAGGAAAAUCCCUUCUGAUCCACAAGGUUUGAGUGAGUCGUGCAAGUUAGAAGCAAGUCGGGCUAAUCUGUUCACAAAAGUGGAAAACCCAAGAGGAGAAAAUGAUGUUUAUGCUCCCGCUUUUCUUCACCUUAAGGAUACCCGUGGCCUUAGAUACUCAAUAUUUACAAGUUGAAUGGGUGGUAGAGCCUUCAGAUUCCAGGCCUCUCUUCUGUGGAACCAGCUUCAGUUUGGAUUUGGGAGACAGACACCAUCUCUACUUUUAAGUAUCUUGAGGUAACUGGUUGAUAUGUGGUGCUGUAAGUCACCCUGAAACAAACUGUUGUGUUGGGCUUGUUUAACGUCAAAAUUGUGAAGACACGUGCAUUCAUGCGGUCUUCCCCUGCAACAGACUGGUGAUAGAGUGGCUAAAGGCUGGUGCACCAUGCUUCUUGCCUAAAUAAGGACAUGCUACAAAAAGAAAUGGACAAACAAGGACUGUUUUUUCUACGCCUAACAUUCAGACACACUCAUUGUUCGUAUGCAUCAGGAGUAAUUGGAGUUCAGCAUCUUGCUCUAGGAUACUUCGACAUACAAAGUAAAGAUGCCAAGAAUCUACCCACCGCCCUUAGCAGCAGACCUGCAACAUGUAUGUACAGACAUCUUCAGAGGAUGAACAUAAACACUGCUCCAUAUAUAAGAGAUGGGUAAAAAAUUAUAUACCACUGAUAACGAUGACCUUUACAGCCUUUUGUGGACCAAGCACACGCAGGUCAGAGUUUAUGCACUUCUGUACGGGAGAACUUUUUAUAGUUCUGACUUUUGGAUGAACUAUUCUCUUGUGUCCCAUGUCCAAAAUGCAGGAAUUAGAGACCACUGUAGUGUUAGGACUCAGUUUUUAUUGUCCUCUUUUAGCUCUUACUACAGAGAAGGUACAAAAUAUGAGUUCUUACUGACAUAGGCGUAGUGUAAUUGGUACAGAUUUAAUUGUAGGGUGACUGGUUGAACACACUGAUGCAGCUCCAGCAGCCACUGCCAAUAUAUUACCCAUGUUAACAAAAGCUCUUAACACAGUCCUUAAAAAUGGAAGAAAAACACAACAAAUUUAAUGUCCAAGGUUUGUGGAGUGUGUAUACAAUAAAUGAAAUGAAGGGCAACUUUGACCCAGUAUGAAAUAUUCUAAAUCUUCACUACCAAUUCCACGUAACUCCCCUAUAGUCAUCCACCACACAGGGAAGCAACAUAGAAAGAAAACAGAGGGUGAAACUGGAUAACGAGGAAAUAAAAGAAGAGGUUAUGCUGCAUCACCAACUGCUGGCCAGCUAUAACAUCCAAUUUCUCUCAGCAACGCAAAAACAAACAUUAAAAAGGUUUGUUGUUUCCAGGGAAUUUCCCCAGUGGGUAUUUACCACCAGGUAGUCCUCAGAACCGCUUGGUCAAAUAAAGCUCUUAUUAGGAUCUAACUGGGUUUUCAAGAGUUAAUUGAGAAAAAUCUUACCGGUCUUACCUUAGCACUGAUGUGUGAAUGCAGGUCUGAGUCAAAGUCUGCAACACAGUUCUAACCUUUCAUCGUGCCCGUAGGCAAGCCUGAAUUCAGCACUGUAAAUCCCUUUCAUCUGCCUUGUUAACCAUUUGACAAAUUGAGCUUGUUUACUCUGCUUCUGAAACAAAUGUGUCAUCAGGAGUGCAUACAUUUAUUUCAAUACAAUAAGAGUGUUAGGUAAUCAAAAUAACUUGAUCUUUACAAUUGUGUUUUUGUGCAAAUGUAGGUGAUGUUUAAGAAUUGUUUUUGCAUGGUUUAGUCUUCAAAUUUGCUUAUAUACUGUCAACCACUUAGUUUUAGACUAUUUCUUCUAAAGAACCUGUGAUUAUUCAUUACAGUAAAUUAUUACUAACCAUAAAAUCAAAUUCUUUUCAACCCAAAGUAAUCCAGGAAGGUAGUAAGUCAUCAGAUAAAUGGCUGCUCAUCUUACAGUGUGUAUGAUGUACUUGAAAUGGGAGACAAGUGACUCAGAUUGAAGUCAUUAGCCGACAAGCAAUUAAGCACAAGUACAAACCAUCAAGAUUUCUCUUUUGCAUGAAGAAAACAGGUUCCUGCUUUGACACACACUCUUCAAUUAAAAAGAAAAAAAGUUAAGUUAAAAUAUGAUGCCACAUAUUUUUAUAACCAUACAAGCUGCUCUAUGAGGCUUAGAAACAAUAUUCCUCUGAGCUGAAGGCUAACAUUGACAUCCCUCUACUGUUAUAGCAUGCUAGCACCUGUUAAUGUUAGGCUCAAAAGGUCAUUUUUACUAUAGUUGCUUUAAACUUUAACAGUGCUGGACUUUGCUACAUUACAUUUGUAACAUUAACCAUGGCAACCAUUCUGGCAAGCAGGACAUCAAAUUAUCCAAGCUAAAGCAGCAUCACCAACUCUCUCACUCGUUUUUUCCUCACACUCAAAGGAAGAGGCCUCAAAGUCUUUUUUAAUGUGCGAAUGGCAACUUUCAUAUUUUAAUAACACCACUUGUCCAUAAACAACAAGGCAUCUGAGACAGUUUAAACACUUAAACUUUCCGAAGGAUAAUAAAGAAGCUCUAGAUGAUUCAUGCAAUCCAGGUUUAACAAAAUGUUAAUGAGGCUUGAAGGGUAGUUUAUUGCUGUGUGCGUAGGAGUCUCUAGACAUGAUCCAUUUAAACAUCCCCAAAUCGAGAGACUUUCAUAGAUUUCUGCUCUAAAAUCAACUGUCAGGAGCAAACAGUUACUCCUGAACACUUUUCUAUACCAGACAGGAGAGUCUGUAGUAUGUAAAAAAAAAAGAAAGAAAGAAAAGCAUUUGCAUUAAUGAUCAUCAUAAUGUGCCUGAUCUGUUUUAGUGCAAUCAUAAAAAAAGAAAAUUGCAACAGAUAUUCAACAAUUUCACAAGUUUAGGAAACUAAACUGGCUCAACAGUUUUAUUAAAAGGAAAGCUGAUUUGAGCAGAUAAUUUUGGGUAGUUUUCACAGAAUUCUAUUCCAUCAUGUCCAAUCUUGAAUCCUUUCAAAUGAUCAAAUCACUAUUUUUAUUAUGUUGGGGAAAUAAAACAAGCGAUUUGUGAGAAACUGCCAGCAGCAGAAAUUAUAUAAGUAUACCUUUAAAGAGCAUCCAUUCCCUGUCAGACUCUCACACACAGUGUUUGAUCGAGUAAGGUUGCACAUUCAUUCAACACCAUGUGCAGAAUGCCAAAAAACAAUGCAUACAAGGAGCCAAGGGAUGUGUAUGUGUGUAAUAUCAGUAGCAUACCAACCGAACGUUUCAUGAAUUCUUAAGAUUCUGCUGACACUGAAGUUUACGAAAGAGAGGGAAUUGAUUCCUCCACAACUGCAUAGCUCUAUUAUGAGCAGCACAAUCUUUACAUCUCACUCCAUACGCUGCCAGAAUAAAGCUUCCUAAUUACCUUAUCCAGUGACAGGACAGCCUUAAUUACUAUAGUAAGUUCACGCCAGUUAAUUGUCUUAAUUUUAAUAUCAAACAGACUUAUAAGCACAAUCUAAUUCUCAGCCAGUUUCUACAGACUGAAUGUGUCCCUGCUGCAUCUGCAUUUCUUAACAAAAAGGACAUUGUUCUAAGGAUUUUUCCAAGUCCAAUGUUUAACAAAUAACAGACAUCAAAGCAGUUUGUAAAUGGAGCAGGAAAGGCCAUGCUGUGUCUCAGGGAUGCGUUUCUCUCAUCACUGACCACCAGAUGUAUAACAAACACUGAGCCACAAAAGAGAGAGAGGAAAAAAAAGAAGAAAAAACAAGAGUCAAAUCCUUACAUGUUAGUUCAGAUACAGCUGGAAAAAUACAAGAGGUCAUAUGAUGAUGAUAGUCCUCUACAGAAGCUGCACUGGUAGGAUUCAGGAAAAACACUUGCCAGGAUAUCACCACACACACGCACACACACAGUGGUAUUCGCACACAGCAGAUUUACAGUGGUAAAUGGACUAUUACAUCCAAUUGCCACACACAGCAUGAGGAAAUUUGUCUCAUUGUGAGUCUCCUGAGAUACAAACAUGGGGACUACACAGAAUGCAGAAUAAACGGUUUCCUCAAUCCAGGAACUCAAAAGGGAAGAAAUUAGACCUAAAGAAAUGAUAUCAUUGGCAUUGUGUGUUUACAUCUUCGCCACAUUCUCUCAACUGUUUUUUGCACAUUGUCAGUACUGCUGAAGAUUUUAAAGAAAGUGAAUAUUUUGAAUUGGCAACUGUAACUGUAACUUCUGUCGGUGCUGUGCUUUUGGAAAACGAAUUUCCCAGAGGAACCCACCCGAGGGAUUAAUAAAGUUCUCUUAUCUUAUCUCAUCUGUAACACAGGUAAGGCUGGUGGUUUAAUAACCUGCUCUUCCUCCCCCCUGAUACCUCAGAUUGCUCCUGCUGUGUGAUGAUGUAGGACACAAAGACCGAUUCAAGCCUCUAAUGUAGCAGCUAGGAAAGACCAAAAGUUACACAUCUCACCUGCAAUUCAAAACUUCCCUGCUGAGUUAUUGCAUUGAUUUAAUUUGCCACUCAUCUAUUUCAACUGGG